rnacentral:tRNA from 1 species
GCCGGAGUGGUGGAAUGGCAGACGCGCCGGACUCAAAAUCCGGUGGGGGCAACCCCGUGAGAGUUCAAGUCUCUCCUCCGGCACCA